CUGCUAUCGGAAGGUGGCACUGAACAUGCAGAAGUCAGUAGAGGCCAUACUAGCUGAGAUUUUUUCAGUGAAGGGC
rnacentral:ncRNA from 1 species